rnacentral:rRNA from 1 species
UACGUAGGGGGCGAGCGUUGUCCGGAAUCAUUGGGCGUAAAGAGCGUGUAGGCGGACUGGAAGGUCUGGUGUGAAAGCCCGGGGCUCAACCCCGGAGGGUCACUGGAAACCGACAGUCUUGAAUCUGGAAGAGGAGAGUGGAAUUCCUGGUGUAGCGGUGGAAUGCGCAGAUAUCAGGAGGAACACCAAUGGCGAAGGCAGCUCUCUGGGCCUUACCUGACGCUGAGGAGCGAAAGCAUGGGGAGCAAACAGG